rnacentral:lncRNA from 1 species
GACGGCUCAUCGGGGGUUCGGUGACUCCACUGACUAAUUUCCACGUGAUGUGAUUAUAUGAAGGUGAUAAUAAUUGUGAUUGCUGUUGUAUUGCCAUUUGUGUGACAAACUGCAUGAUCAUAUAAUUAAACGAAUGAUCAAAUUAAAAUGUUUUAGUAUUUGUGUGAUUGUGUGGGGUGAGAGGGUUAUCUAACCCUACUCAUUGAGUUUGGCGCUCACCCCUGCCUAUUAUUUUUUUUCAGGUAAUAGAAAGAAAGGCCUUAUGGAGUUGACACAUUAUUUAUAGAAGACUGUUAAUAAUUGAAAUAUCAAUGUAAAUGUAAAAGUAGAGUUCCGCAAUUGUAUUCCAACUGGGUUGUAAAUGAAUAAAUAGAGUAUAGACAUUUAUUAUAUUGACUGUACGGUGGAUAUAUUUGUAAAUAGAAUGCGAGUUUUAAAUAAUGCAGGCUUACUACGGGCUUCGGGGGCCUUAAGCCCACCCAGGUCCUAGUGCCGGUCCAGCCCACGGAAAUGGGUCGUGACAAUAAAAGGAUUGUUUGCCAAAUAAUUGGUAUGAUUAUUAAUAUUUUGUAUAGUUUUCUAACUUUUGGUAAAAAAUAGCUAUUUUUUUUUUAAAAAAAAUUCAAGUAAGAUUAAGAAAAAUGUUACUUGAAUCUAGUUCAAGUCAUGAUAACAAUAAUAAACACUAUUAUUUUAGAAUUCUAAAUCUAUUGAAUAAACACACGUGAAAGAUAUAAAUUUAAUAUUAUAAUUCGUGAUUUAUUUAAUAUUUUAAAAAAUAAUAUAAAAUUAAGUUGAUUGAAAUUUUAAAAUUACAAUAAUAUAUUUAAAAUUUUAAACGCUAGUUGUUAUUUUCAUUGUAAUUUCUAAUGUAUAGAUUUUAGAAAGUUAUUGUUUCUUCAUAUUGAAAGUUGUUAUCUAUAUUAAAUAUAUAUUUAUUAUUUUUUGCUAUUUAUACUAUUUUCAUUAAAAAAAUUUGACCAUAUAUAAUGUAUAUUUGUUUGUGUAAUUAUAUCAUUAUAUUAUUUUUUCAUAAUUAUAUUAUUUUCAUAUACUUUUUAAUCAAGUUUAAUUUCUUAGUUUCUACACACUGUAUGAAAUCACAAAUAAAUUUUCACUCCCCUGCAAAAAAAAUCCUGGCUCCUUGUCACUGAAGACAUACCUACACCUUAACAAGAAUUUGUACAUAAUUUGUAGUAUAAGACACACCUACACCUUUUCAUAUACCAAACCAAUCAAUAAAUUUUUAUUUUUUUUUUAAAGAUCGUCAUUGUCUUUUUUUUUUUUUUUUUUGGCAAACAGUCAGAAAUACCCUCAUUAAUCGAACCAAAAAACUGUUUUUUUUUAUUAACUUAGUAUAUGGAGUGAGCCUAUACAUCAAAUGUGAGCUAGGAGGAAUGAUAGUUUUAUCAUAAUUCUUUAUUUUUUUUUUGUUGUUUUAAAUUUCAGGGACAUCCAAUAUUAAAUGGCUGAUAUGGGGAUAUCAUAGUUUUGAGAGGUCAUAAGUAAUAACCUUUAUAUAUGUUUUUAAUUAUUUUUGUUUAUUUUGCAGAUAAUGUUUGUAUCUUAAAAUUUAAGGUAGUGACACCGUCUAAGGUCAUCAACAUAUGUAUGAUUUGCAGGAAUAAUAUAUUUAAGGUAGAUGAUGUUCAAAAUACUCAAGUCUUCUAAUUUGGCUAUAAAUUAAUAAAUAAAUGAUAUUAAUAAUUUAAUUUUAAUAUUCAUAUACUAUAAUUUUUUUGCAGUUUAAUAAAAAAAUAAAAUUAUUGGUGCCCUAGGAUAAAUAAUUUAAUUUUAUAUUAUGACUAAAAGUUACGAGUUUAAACUGUAAUAAUUUCUUUUACUGGAAAAGAUUUCUGAUGUUAAAUAGAAAAAAUUAUUUUCAAUAGUUUGUAACUUUGCUUUGCAUUACUAUUAAUUUAAUCAGAGCAUAUGGUAUAAACGAAUAAUUGAUAUAGCUGACAAUUAAUUUUGAACUAAUGUUAUAUUUAAUUGUGGUGGUUAUUUUUCUAGUCAUAAUCGGAAUUCAAAAAAAAAAAAAUCAUAUCAAUAAAUUAUAUAAUAAAAAAAUUACUGGGGCCCAGACAAAUAAUUUAAAUCAUAUUAUUACACAAAGUCUAAAGUUUAAAUUAUGAAAAUAUAUAUUGACAGUGAUUUUCGCAAGUGUACGAAAUCGCCACAAGUAAUAUAUGAUGACUAGAAUAUCGUUCCCACGAAGAUUGUAUACCAAGUACCAAAAUUUUGUUAAUCUAUUAUUAUUUAAACGAUAAAUGAGGAAAUUGCUUCAACAAAUGUAAAUUCAAUAAGUAAAAUAAGAAGAAGUCAAGCAAACAAAAUUUGAUUAGAGAAAUCAAGGAUUAAAAACUGCUAGGGAUUUUGAUUUCACUUAAUUCUAUCCAAUUUAUUUUAUUAGUUCAUUAAUCAAUUUUAAUUAUUCAAGUAGGGGAAACAACUCUAAAAUCACUAACAAGCUCUCCCGAUGUAUUAUUAGUUAUUUUAAUUCCGUUUAAGUACCUAUUUUCCAAUAGCAUAAUCAAACCUGAAUCAAAUCAUUAAGUUUUGUAGUUUGUUUAUAAAUUCAUAAAUUAAAGUUGUUAAUUAAUGAAAAUCCCCCAUGAGUCAAACCAUAUAGCUUCUGCAUCAAGUUAUUAUUCUCAUGUGAUUCAUUAACUUUUCAUAUCAAAAAAUCAUUCUUCCGAUGGUGAUUAAUGAAAUAAAUCAAUCCAGGGGAGAACCUCUGCCUGGAAGCACUAAGUUUAUCAAUAAAUCAUAACUUGAACAAAGAAAAACAAAUCUAAUAUUAUAAUUUGGAAAAGAAAUCAAGCUACAUCAAAUCCCUAGUAUGAGAAUUUAGUUAGACAUAGUGCUUAAAUAAAACUCAAUAAUACUUGAUAAAUAUUCCAUAAUCAAUAAGAAUAAUGAAAGAAAUAAAUAAGAUUAAGAGUUUAGAAAUAAGAACUAGUUAACAAUUGACUCUGAAUGGCUUCCUUGAAUCUUUGAACAACUCUUGAAUAUUUGAACUCUUAAAGAAAUAAAACUAUAUACAAGAAUAAGAAAUAUGAGAUCUGGUAUGAGAUAGAGUGGAAUGGGAUGCCCUGGGAUUAACUCUUCUUCUCUUUAUAUAGACUUCUUGGAAGAGAAAUCCACAUGGUUUAAUGAUCAAAGUCUACCUUUGUUAGGUGAUAAAGCUCUCUUUUAGGACUUAAAUUUCUUCAAUCAUGACUUACCCAUAUGCAUAGAUUAGAUCUUGAUUUGCAUGUGAAGAACAUUGUCCAAGAUUAGCUCCUGAAGUUGGUAAAAGUUGGUUGGCAAUUUUUGACUCAAUUUAGGCUUCUGAUGUUUGGCACGGGCGUGCUAGGAAGCACGGUCUGGGCGUGCCAGGCUUUGGCAUUGUAGAAGGCUCAGCACGGGUCGUGCUGUCUAGCACGCCUGAAUAGGGUCCUGUGGCACGGCCGUGCGCCCUAGCACGGCCUGGGCGUGCUAGGCUCUAGAAGUCUAGUGCAUGUGCAGCACGGGCGUGCUUCAGCGGACAAGCCCUAGGAUUGCAUCUCCAUAGUGGCACAGGCGUGCGCCCUAGCACGGUCAAGGCAUGCUAGGCUUUGGAAGUCCAAGGUAUUUGUAGCACGGGCGUGCUGUCUAACACGGCUAGGGCAUGCUAGAGUCUGACUAUUUGCUUGAUUUUCCUUGGUUCUUAGCACGGGCUGGGCAUGCUAAAAUAUUUUGCUUCAUUUUGUCCUUUUUUUGUGCAAAAACCCUACAAAUUUUCUUAAGAUAAAGUGAGUUGUGUUUCAAGGAAACUUUUAAAUGAAAACAUAACAAAAUUAAAUAAAUUAAAAAUACUAAAAAUCUUAAUAAAAAUUAUAUUAAAAAUACUAUAAAAAUAACACUAUCAUAUUUUUUUUUUGAUACGCAAUGCACAAUAAUAUCAGACAUGUGAUUAUUAGCAGGGCAUUACCAUAGCCUUAUCUCUUCAAUAAUGUUAACUUCCCUUAUCUUUUUUUGUUUUUUUUUUUUUUUUGCCGAAUGACCCGUAUCUUAUUAAUUUGAUUUAUAAUAAUUUAUAAUAGCAAUUUCUUUUAUUCACAGUUAGUAUCUAUAGAUUUUGUAGUUAUCAGUAAACCCUAAACCUAAACCUUAAACACUAUGUGCGGGCAAUUUUAUUGCAUUGGUUCCAUGUCUUAUCAGGCUUGUGGCUUUGCCGACAACUUAAUUUGUAUACAAAAGUACUCAUAUUCUUAUGAGGUGCAUCAACUUUUUUAUGUUAAAGGUAAUAAAUAUAAAAGUGAAGAAUGAAUAUUGUAUAUAUUAUUCCUAGUAAACAAGCGUUUAAAUACAAAGAGAAUAAACUGAAUUCCUUAGCAGUAGGAAUCAGUAACAAACUAAUCCUAUCAUAACAAUCUCAACAUAAUCAAAAUAAUACAAAGUCAAAGAUAUGGGAAGAGGUACAGAUAUACUGCUAAUAUGCCCCCCUCAAGUUAAACAGAGAGGACCAAUGUUUAACUUGUUCAGAUGACGACAAAACGCAGCAGAUGACAAGGGCUUAGUCAAAGUAUCGGCUAAUUGAUCUGCAGAAUGGACAUGUGAAACAGUAAGCAGUUCCCGAUGAACUUGAUCACGAACAUAAUGAAAAUCCACUGCUAAAUCCUUCAUACGACUGUGAAACAUAGGAUUCUCACAUAAAUAAGUGACUCCUAUGUUAUCACAAUAAAUAACAGGUGCCGUAGAAAGUCUGAUAACCAUUUCAAACAGGAGAUUACGAACCCAAGUUAUUUCAGAUACAGCACUCGCAACAGCACGAUACUCAGCCUCCGUGGAGGACCUCACAAUUGUUGUUUGCUUUUUAGAAGACCAACUGAUCGGAUUAUUGCCAAAGAAUUGAAUGUAGCCAGUGGUUGAGACACGAUCAUUAAUAUCGCCGGCCCAAUCUGCGUCAGAAUACAUGUGAAGUGACAGAGAUUUGCUUUUCUUCAGACAAAGGCCAUAGCGAAGAGUACCAUUAAGAUAUCUUAGAACCCGUUUGACAGCUUUCCAAUGAAUAGUAGAUGGAGCAUGCAUAAACUGGGAAAGCUUGUUCACUGCAAAGCAAAUAUCGAGACGGGUAAAACUAAGAUAUUGAAGUUUACCAACAACUUGUCGAUAUUUAGUGGCAUCAACAGGCAAGGAACCAUCAGAAACUGAAAGAACUGCAGAGGAGCUCAUAGGAGUAGCAGCUGGUUUGGAUUCCUGCAUGUUGGUUGUGUGAAGUAGAUUAGCAAUAUAAGUUGCUUGAGACAAGUAGAGACAAUCUUUCUGCCGCAACACUUCCACACCAAGGAAAUACUGCAAAUUACCCAGAUCUUUAAUAGAAAAAUGACUCUUUUGAGUUAUGAAAGCUCUGAUACCAUAAUAAAUAUAAAAGUGAAGAAUGAAUAUUGUAUAUAUUAUUCCCAGUAAACAAGUGUUCAAAUACAAAGAGAAUAAACUGAAUUCCUGAGCAAUAGGAAUCAGUAACAAACAAAUCCUAUCAUAACAACUCAAUCUCAACAUAAUCAAAAACAAAUAAUACAAAGUCAAAGAUAUUGGAAGAGGUACAGAUAUACUGCUAAUAAAAGGUGGAUAAUUGUACCAAGAAUCGAUUAAUUAUUACUCCUUUCGUUGUUUUUUCUGAGAAAAUUUUCUUUUUCGGUGUAUUUUUUAUAUAGGAAAAGUUAUUAUAAAUAGUAAUUUUGGAAUCUAAGUCAAGUUAAAAAGAUUAUAAAGCCCUCAAAGUACAUGUGUAUUUUUUAAGAAUAAAGCUCAACUAUUAAGGAAAGUGGCAGACAUGAAUAUUCUCACCAUUUAAUACACGCAUGUUUCAAGUGACAAGUUAUCAACUCAUUUUUUUUUAUUUUGUUUUAUAGUAACAACUGUCGUUUUUAUAAAUUUGGCCAUAUAAAUACAGAGUUAACCCUUAUUUGUAUGUCUUUGAGUGGGGAAGAUGAAAAUCGUACACUAAAUGAGCUAGUUACUCUUCCAAGAAGAGCUGGAAGAGUGUCUUUAAUUGCAGACAAUAAUGUUGAGAUUCUGAAAAAAAUUGAAUCCAAUUACUACUCUUUUGGCCACAUUGGUGGAAAAUAUAGAUCUAAAUAUUGAGCAAACACAGAAAAAUAGUGCCCAAAUUGAAUAUUUUAGUUAGUAAUAAAAAUUUAAAAAUAUAAAAUCUAAGACAAAACAAUUAAAAAUGUUUUUAAUUUUUAAAUUCAAAGUUAAAUUAACUAUUGAUUUAUUAUGUAUACAAUCAAUUGAAUAAAAAUAUAAUAUCUAAGUAUUAUAAUAAAUAAAUAAUACUAAAUGACAUUAGAUUUAUACGGAUAGAGAAAAUAAUAAUAAAUAUAAAAAUAAUACUAAAUAGAGAAGAGAUGAAAAAAAAACGUAGAAUUUUAAUAGAGAUAAUAAAACUAAUGCUUAUAUAUUUUGGAUAAAUAAAUGACAUUAGAUUUAUAUGAAUGGAGAAAAUAAUAAUAAUAAUAAUAAUAUAACUUUAUGAGGAUAAAUCUUAUAAAAAAUAAAAAAAUAGGAGGAAUGUAGAAUAAAAGCACGCACAAAUACAAAAAUCAUCAUACGUGGUUUUAUAAAAAUUUGUUUUUUAUUUUAAAAAACAGUUUCUUAAAAAGUAAAGAAACAAGUUUUGUUUAUUUUUUAAACAAAUAAGUUUUCAUUAAAAGGGCUAUAGGAAAUUUCAUUAUUUCCCGCUAUUCCCAUGUUUAUAUAAUAUAGAUUUUCAAGAUUUUUGUAAAAAGUGGCUUUUUGAAAAGAGAUUAAUUAGAAAGUAAUAGUUCACACGACCAAUAUUUUGUAAUAUUUUCAAAUAUUUUAUAAAAAAUGUAUGUCUUUUAUAAAAGGAUUGUUUGCCAAAUAAUUGGUAUGAUAAUUAAUAUUUUGUAAAGUUUUCUAACUUUUGGUAAAAAAUAGCUUUUUUUUUUUAAAAAAAAAAAUUCAAGUAAGAUUAAGAAAAAUGUUACUUGAAUCUAGUUCAAGUCAUGAUAACAAGCACGAUGAUAAAAGAUUGUCCUCCACCAAUCAUUUGGAUAGAGCACCAUAAUAAUUAUUCAAUAGGGCUUUGGAAAGGAUUCCAUUGGCUACGGUUCAAUAAUUGUUUUUCUCGUGGGUCCAAUGUGUAAAUUAUUUAUAAAAAUUUUUACUUCAACUUAUUAAACACUUCAAUUUAUAAAAAUUAUAUUAAUUAAAUACUUCAACUUGUAAAAAUUAUUCUAUUGAAAACUCUAAUUUAUAAAAUUAGAUUAAUUAAAUUCUUAUUGAAUAAUUAAAAGAUGUUAAAAUUAUUAUUGCAAAAAUUAUAUUAACCACAUCAAGUAAAUAUUUACUUGUAAAUACAAAAAACACACACACAAAGAAAAAAAAAACUAUCACUACUAAUAUUAAGAGGGGUAGAAUGUUAUUAAAAAAUUAUAACAUUUAUAUGAAGGGUCACUGUUUCUUUUGAGAAAAGAUGGCGGUUGAAGAAAGUGGUGGUGAUAGUGUUGGGUGAUAGUUUGGAUUGGGUUCCAUAAUUAUUUUCUCCAGCACAAUGCAUAAAUUUAUCUCUGUAUUUUUAAGUAAAUAAUAUUGUAGCACUUUUAAUUUUUAUUUUGACAUAUUAAAUACAUCAAUUCAUAAAAUUGUACUAAUAAACUACUUCAGUUUGUGAAAAUUAUUCUAUUGCAAAAUCGAAUUUGUAAAGUUGAAUUUAUUAAACAUUUACUGGAUAGUUAAAACACGUGAAAAUUAUUAUUUCAAAGAUUGUGUUAACCACACAUCAAGUAAAAAUUUUACACAUAAAUACCAAAAACAUCCAAAAAUUAAUAUUACUAGUAUGGAAGGGAAUAAGAUAUUAUCAAAAUUGGUAAAUGAAAAUGAUUUAUAUAUAUGGCUUCUUGUAAAUGAAAAUGAUUUAUUUUCUUAAAAAAAUAGUAUAAAUUUAAAUAUUUUGAACUAAUGUUUGAUGACUUUAAGUGAUUAUUUAGCCUAUUACUUAAUUUGUAUACAAAAGUAAAAUGCAUAUGUGCUCAUAUUCUUAUGAGAUGCAUCAAUUUUUUAAUUAUUAUUUAAGAUGAAUUAGUCCACUAAAACAAUCUCUAACUGUAAUUUUGAAAAUUUAUUUUUCACUGUCAAAGGAGACUUUAAUUACGUUUAUUUGCACUAAUUAUAAUUAUUAGAUGUACAUUGUCAAUAAUUAUAUAAGUACCUGUCUAUAGAAAUGCACUAAUUAUAAUUAUUAGAUGUACAUAGUCAAUAAUUAUAUAAAUAUCUGUCUAUAGAAAUUAAGGGUAAAUAAAGAAAAAUGGAAUCAAAAUGUAACUUAUGGAUGAGAUUUGCCUACUUGGUGUAUAGUACAACCUAUAUAUCAAAUUUUAAAAAAAAUUUUAAUUAUUAUUAUUUUAUCUUUUUUCUCGUGAAUGAUUAAAAAUACCUAUAUUAAAAAAAUUAUUUUCGAUUUAUUUAGAGCCUAUUUGGACAAAUGAAUUCCAUAAAAUUUUGUGAAAUUCGUUUAGAAAUCCAAAAUAUUGUGUUAGGAAUGAAAAAAAAAUACAAAUUUGGAUUCUACGAAUUGAAUUCUAUGGAAUUGGGUAUGCCUAACUCAAAUUCUACUAAAAUUGAUAGAAUUUGUACAUAAAUUCCAAAAAAUUUAACCACUAAAAUUUUAUUGACAAAAUUACCCUCAACUAUAAACUCAGCUAUUUUUACUUUUUUUUUUCUUUAUUUUAAAUUAUAGCAUACCAAAUAUGACAAAUUCAUUUGCAAAUGAAUUCUACUUAUAAAUGAAUUCUACUUGGAUUCAUUUGUUCUAAACGGACCGUUAAUGUAUAAGUGGAGUUUACAAAACAUGUGUAGAUAAGUUCUCACAUAUUAUUACAAAUGUGUCCCGCCCAUAAGUGAACCACUGUAAAUUUAAAAUGUGUCCCCAAUAAUUUGAAAUGGGUCCCACUUAAGCAAGUGGGUGCAUGUCUAUAAAAACCCACUUAAGCAACACUUGAAGCACCACACUACUCUUUACAUUCUUUCGUCUUCAUAUUUCAAAAGCUCUCUAAUAUUAAGCGAUGGCUGUGUCUCCAAUCCAGUCGGUGCUUGGGAUGUUGGGUGUUAUGUCCACGGCACAGCGUCAAACUGGGUUGAAUAUCAGCUCAUUUUACCCACCUGUUGCACAACUUCUUGGCACCGUAUUGUUGGGUUAAGUCCUUUACCGCUUCUGGAUGAAGACUGAAGCUUGUGUUUGUGUUAUCCUUUUAAGUAAUGUUAAUAAGCAUGGCUUUGACUGAUCCACCAUCUCCACUGGAGUGUGUGUGUGAAUCUCAAUGCUAUGAGCAAAUAAAUUCUGUCUUUAUGUACUUCUAUUUUAUGUGUUUUUAAUAAAUCAGUCUUUCCAGUGCGGUCAAACAGUUAUCAAAUAUCUUUGCUUAAAAAUAUUUGAACAAAUAAUUUGUUUCCUCAACAAAAUAUUUGAAAUAUAUAUUAAUAUAUGUUUUAAUUCAAGACUUAAAAAUAUGUUGCCUAAAUACUUUAUAUUUGAAACAAUCGAAUUAAUCUUUAACAAGACACGAAACAUAAACUCCAAAAAAGAAGAGAAAGUGUAUGUAAUGAAUGAUGUUGCAGACUGAAUAGCAUUUCCUGUUUCCAAUGUGACUGGGUAGUCACAACAUGAUAAAAGGUUUUUUAGAUCAGUUGUGGUUUUAGGUUAGUUGAAUUUAUAAAAUAAUUGAUGCAUUUAUCUAUAAUUUGUAAUGUUUUUUAACAAUUAUGUAAAACAUGGUUCUUUCUUAUGAAAUUGCCAAAUUACUAAAUAAUAGUUUCAGUACCAACAUUUUAUAACAAGUCCUAAACAUUAUAAAAGUGGUUAUUUUUUAAAAAAAAAGUUAGCUAUGGACUUUGGUUGUUAACAUUUUCCAAUGUUUUCUAUUUUUUAAAAAAUUAUUAGAUUAGAGAAUAAUAGCUCCAAUUGCCUAUAUUUUUGUUAAAAGUAGUUAUUUUUUGUAAAAGGAUUAUCCACAUAUUAAGAGUUCAUAUUAUCAAUAUUUUUGUAAUAUUAUCAAAGAUCUUGUAAAAAAUGCUUUUUUUAAAGAGUUGUUUUAGAAUAAUAGUUCUGAUUACUAAUAUUUUGUAAAAUUUUCUAAUCUUUUUGUAAAAUAUAUAUAUAUAUAUUUUUGUAAAUUUAGGUAAAAGUAAGUAAAUUGUUAAAUUUAUCCCGACUCAUGCGUUGAUAAAAGGUUGUCCUCCAUCCAUAUUUUGGAUGGGGUUUUAGAUAGGGUUCCAUGAUUUAGAUAAGGUUCCAUAAUUUUUUUUUUUUUUUGCAAUACAAUGUAUAAAUUUAUCUCCGUAUUUAUAUGUAAAAAAUAUGGUAACACUUUUAACUUUUACUAGUAUUAGAACUCACGUAAUGUGGGAGCAAUAUUAGAUGAAAAAAUAAUUUUUUAUAAAAUCAUUCAAAAAUAACAAAAUUGUAUAAUAAAAUAAUCGUGAAAUGUAUUAUAAAAUUGUAUCUCAUUGAGAUAUGUUAAAAGAAGUUAAAAUGCUAAGAUGUGUCUUCUUAAGUAUCCUGCGAAGCUUUUUACUAAAGUACGCAAUAAGAAAAACCAUGCAUGGUAUGAUUUAGGGGUGUCAAAAUGGGUUGGCGUGUCAAGUUUCGACACGGAUUCGCCUAACACGCAACAUAAUUACGGUCAACAUGAAUACUAUCAAUUUAAUAAUUGUUUUAAAUUUAUCAACAUGAACACGAUACGAAAAUUAGACAAGUGAUAGGAACACGAUAAAUUUAAUCAACUAAUAUCAUAAACAAGUUAAGUAGAUCGUGUUGACCCAUAUACAACCCUUGUAAUCCGCUUAAUAUCAUAAACAUGUUAAGUGAGUCGUGUUGAUCCGUGUGCAAUCCACUUAACCUGUUUAUAAUAUUUUUAAAUUUUAACCUAUUUAACUCCAAUUAUAUUUAAAAAUAAAUUUUCAUACAUAAAAUGCAUAAAUUCUUCAAGAUUCAUAAUUAAAAUAAAAAAGUAACAGAACAAUUAAAUUUAAAUAGGUUUUAAUUGGAGUAUUUAUACUUAACACCAAAAUUACCUCUUUACUCUUAAACAAACAGGUAACUUGCUUAACCCGCGUCUUAACCUGUGAUACGACACGUUUGUAUUCGCCUCAUAAAUGAGUAACUCGUUUAUGACAAGAAUCCGUUUAACAUCAACCCGAAUCCAUCUAUUUCGUGUGUUAGGCAACUCGUGUUCGCGUGUCAUGAACCAUUUUGACACCCCUAGUAUGACUUGUAUCAAAAAAUGCACACACACUAUUAAUGUAAUUUCCAAUAGUGAUAAUAAUUUUGAGAAUUAAACUGAUUAUAUUGAAAUAAGAAAUUAAGUAUUUUUUUUAUUUUAUGUUUAUGAUUUAUUAUAAAUGAUUGUGUAUUUAUUUGAAAUAUUAAUAUAUUAUAUUUAUUUAGUGUAGUGUGUGUCCUAAGCGUGUGGAUGUCCUACUUUUUAAAAAAUUGUCAUAUAGCGUAUAUUCUCAUAUCUCGUGUCCUGUGUCAGUGCAACUUAGCUCUUGGUUUAUGAGACUACUCCAUAUACCAAGCUAAUCAACCAAGGUUUUUUUUAUUACCAAGAAAAAAUGAAUGUGUUUUUUUAAAUUUGUUUUUGUGUCUUUUUUUUUAUUAAUGAAUGAUCAUAAAAAAUAAGAAUGAACUAAAUUCUUUUUUGGAAAAAACUUAUGUUACUUUUUUUUUUGGGUUUUAAAAGUAAAAUAAAAUUAAUUUUUCUCUACAAAUUUAUUUUUAUAGUUUUUUUAUUUUCUUUCCAAUUUGAAGAUAAAAUUAUCAGAAUUCUUUUCCAAUUUAUAGUUUUUACUUUUUAAUAUUAGUUUUCUUUUCUUUUCUUUUCUUUUUCCCUCUUACAUUACAUUAUCUGAAAAUAUAAAACAAUUUAUCUUUAUACAAUUGCUGUCAUUACAACUUAUCUUCUUACAACUAUGCUAAAUAAUUGUGUUCCUUACACUUGUCAAUUUGAGAGACUUACACUUGGCUAUCAUUUAAGAUAGACUUAUCUACUUUUAUAUAUUACUAGUGUAAGAAGCAACACGAUGCGCGGAGCAAUAUUAAAAGUGAAAUAAUAUUUUAUAGCAUCAUUCAAAAUAGUAAAAUUAUAUAAUAAAAUAAUAAAUUGUAUCUCGUGUCUCGUGUUCAUGCAACCUAACUUCUGAUAUUUGAAACUACUCCAUACACCAUGCUAAUCAACCAAGUUUUUUGUUAUUACCAAUAAAAAUGAAGUUUUUUUUUAAUUUGUUUUUGUGUUAUUGAAAUAAGAAAUUAAGUAUUUUUUUCAUUUUAUGUUUAUAAUUUAUUAUAAAUGAUUGUUUAUUUAUUUGAAAUAUUAAUGUAUUACUUAUUUAGAGUAGUAUGUUGUCACGACCCAUUUCCGUGGGCCGGACCGGCACUAGGACUUAGGUGGGCUUAAGGCCCCCGAAGCCCGUAGUAAGCCUGUAUUACUUAAGACUCGCAUGCUAUUCACAAUUGUGGAUUCAGGCCCAAUAAUUUAUUUCACAAGUAUUUCCAAAGUACAAUCUAAAUAAUACAUGUCUAUUCUCUAUUUAUUCAUUUACACCCCAGUUGGAAUACAAUUGCGAAACUCUCCUCCAUAAUUCCCUAUCCUAUGCAUUUACAUAUUCGAUCCAAUGAUUAUUACUCCUAUCGAUCCGUAUCUCGUUCGUACGAUUGGACUCCAAGCUUCUUCUUUCCAUCUAUUACCUGGGGAGGUUGGAGGGGGGGUGAGUACUAGACUCAGUGCGUAGGGUUAGAUAACCCUCUCAUCCCACACAAUCACACAGAUGCUAAAAAUAUUUUUAUCUGGUCACCGAUAAAUUUUUUGAUUAUGCAGUUUGUCACACAAAUGGCAAUACAGUAGCAAUCACAAGUAUUAUCACCUUCAUGUAAUCAUAUCACGUGGAAAUUAGUCAGUGGAGUCACUGAAACCCGAUGAGCCGUCCUCCUACAUGGCCUCACAUGUGCACCAAGGAGCCAAUCCCCCAUUCUGGCUGGCCGGUAUAAUCCUCACACGACCGGUCCUCUCAUUAUUUUGCCAUUCAAAUAAAAUUGUUUAAAUUUGCUUCUGUUAAGUCCGUGUUGACGGCACCUUUCUCUUCUCCCUCCACACUCUGACUUAAUUCUGGGGAUCCCAGAUUAAGGUUGCAGGAACCUUAAACCUAUACUUGUGUUUUGUUAUAUGAUAUUUUGUUUUGUUGUUUGUGAUCCUGUUGUUUGAUUUUGUUGGUAUCAGAGCCAUCCCUUUUAACCUUCUAGCAAUUCUCAAAUAUAAAGCAUCCAUUUGAAAAUAUCAUAAAUAGUUUUGGGUAUGCCAACUGAACCCGUGAAUAGCGAUAUGUUGGGCGUAGAAAGGGUAUAACAGGCAGUGACCGCAACUUGUUUGAUAUUAUACAAUGGAUCCUUUAUUGUGUAGGUCAGCUAGUAGUGUUAAAUCGGAUGAUUCUGAAUCUUCAGAAAUAAAGAGAGUAAUUAAUAGAAAUGAAUUAAUUUUACAAGAUUUUAGUAAAGCAAUUGAUGAAUGGGAAAUACCUAAAGUUGAUAAAGAACAAAUAUAUAAAGUUUCUAAAUUUAAUUUAUGGAAAACUGACUAUGUAAUAAAAACAGAAGAAAGAGAUUUUCAAUUAAGUAAACCUUUUGAAAGAAUAACUCUUUUAUCUUCUAAAACUUUGCAACAUCAUAAAAAAAAAUAUAAGUAUAUUCAUAUAGGAUUAAUCCAAGUAGGUAUAAAACCUUUAACUCGAGAGGGAUUAAAUACUAGUAUAUUAGCAGUAGUAAGAGAUGCUAGAUUUUUAAAUUUUCAAGAUUCUUUGCUAGGAUCAGUUGAGACCAGUUUAAGUGAAGGACCCAUAUCCUUUGAAGUAUACCCAGAUAUGACUAUCUCAUUAAAUGAUGUAAACAUUUUAGAAAAUAUGGUUUUGGAAAUUAAAACUCAUAAUUAUAAAAUGAAACAAGGAUCAAUUCCUAUAGCAUUGAUAUAUAAAAUUCAUUAUAAAGCAAUGAAUUCGGCUUUUGGUACUAAAUAUAAAUUACAACCUAAAAUAGGAGAGACAAGAUUCUUACAGACAGAUUUAACUAAAACUAAUACUGUAAUUCCUAAAACCAUUCAAUGGAAAGACAUCACAUUACCAGAAGAAUGGAUCUUAGAAGGAAUAGUACCCCCUCCAAUUCCAGAAAAGGUAAAACCGAAUAUAAAUUUACAAAAAAUUGAGCAAUAUGAAGAUGGUAAGGUAACACUAAAAUUUAAUAGAAGUCAAAGUUCCAGAUAUACAGGGUCAUCAUCUUCUGUAGUUACAGAUGACAAUGAAAAACCCUCUUCUUCUCAUAUACCCUCUGUCAUUUAUGCAAAAUAUAAGGAUACUGAACCUAAACCCAUUAUUCAAACAUUAGUAAAACCCAGAUAUUCUACUUCAGAUAUCCCAGAUUUAAGUCAGUCUCUUAAAAUGAAAGGUGUUGAUUAUAGCUCUUCAAUUCCGCAAGCAGUCUAUAAUCCAAUAGAAAACUAUGUAAAUCAGCAGUCGCAUUUAGCUAAUUCAUCACCUGAAUCACCCACAGUUUCAACCAUAACUGAAAAUAUACAAGAAAUAAAUAGGGAACUGAAUGUACUUAGUAAAGAAGACAUUGAAAAAGGACUAAUAAAAGAAAUAACAAAAACCAAAAAUUUGAUGAAAUUAAACAAGAUACUAAAAAUUCAUACCUUUGAGGAUUUAAAAUAUGAAUAUUUAAAUUAUAAGUUACAAACUCAAACUAAAAUCAAAUUCUUUGAUUGGUUUGCAUUAACUAAAGAAGAUUGUUCCAAUAAAAGUCUAAAUCCCAUCACUGUUAGAGAUAAGAGACCAGAAUGGAUUGUAAAUGAUAGAACUAUACAAAGUGAUUUUCCACCUAAAACAAUUAGUAAAUUAAAAUAUCAGGAUAAUGAAAUUAUUUGUGCUUCAUAUAAAAUAGCUAGAGAAAAUGAUACAGAUAAAAAACUCAUAGAACAAAAUAAUUUUAGUAAUGCAAGUUUAAUUUGUUUAAAUACACAAUUAAAACGAAAUUGUUCCUAGUUCAUCAAACAACAAAAUAAUUUUAGUAAUGCAAGUUUAAUUUGUUUAAAUACACAAUUAAAACGAAUAGAAAACUUAUUAGAAGAAAAACCAAGUUUAGAUGAUAAAGUAAAAGGGAAAGAAAAGAUAAAGUCUCAUAUUUUUAAACCAUAUCAACUUUCUCAAUCUAGUCAAAAGGAAUUAAAAAAUAAAUUUCUAGGAACACUAAAAGAUCAACUCAGUAGACUCGAAUUACAUUCAGAUUCUACACAACAAGUAGCACCUGAAACCCCUCAAACAUCUAGAAAUAUAAAUAUCAUAGAAGAAAACUCUCAAUCUGAAAUCAGUGAACCUGAAUCAGAAGACAUUAAACAAUUUGAAAUUAACCCCAUAUUACAUAGAGAAAUAGUAAAUAGGGCACCAGAUUUAGGCAUAAUAGAUAAACCAAAUCACAUAUCUCAAUUUAAAUAUAAUGCUACUACAAUUUAUGAAUGGAAUAUAGAUGGACUAUCUGAAUAUAAUAUAUUAAGUAUAUUACAACAAAUGACUAUGGCAGCUAAUGCUUAUAAAACUCAGUCAAUUAUAUCAGAUAGGGCUAUAGCAAAAAUAAUUGUAGUAGGAUUUACAGGCCAAUUAAAAGGUUGGUGGGAUUAUCACCUAACUGACCAAGAGCAUUUGGAGAUAUUAAAUUCCAUUAAAGUAAAUAAUGAAGGAGAACCAAUAUAUGAUGAACAUGGUGAAACUAUUCAAGAUGCAGUGUCAACAUUAAUUCUCACUAUUUCAUUACAUUUUAUAGGAGAUCCAUCCCAUUUAAAAGAUAAAAAUGCAGAAUUAUUAAGCAAUCUAAAAUGUAAAAAACUAAGUGACUUUCAAUAUUAUAAAACUACUUUCCUUACUAGAUUAAUGUUAAGGGAAGAUUCCAAUCAAGCCUUUUGGAAAGAAAAAUUCUUAACCGGAUUACCUUUCUUCUUAGGCGAAAAAGUUA